rnacentral:rRNA from 1 species
UACGUAGGGGGCUAGCGUUGUCCGGAUUUAUUGGGCGUAAAGAGCGUGUAGGCGGCCAGGUAGGUCUGGUGUGAAAACUCGAGGCUUAACCUCGAGAUGUCAUCGGAAACCAUCUGGCUAGAGUCCGGAAGAGGAGAGUGGAAUUCCUGGUGUAGCGGUGAAAUGCGCAGAUAUCAGGAAGAACACCAAUGGCGAAAGCAGCUCUCUGGGCCAUAACUGACGCUGAGAAGCGAAAGCAUGGGGAGCGAACAGG